GACGGGCCUGCACCGGCCUCCCCUCCCGCGGGGUCCCAGCCUGGCCGCGCUGGGGUCCCAGUCCCCGGGGCCCCGCCCCACGCCCGGCGCUGCCGCCACGGCACCCGGCGCAUCCGCGAGCGCAGACCCGAUCCUGGGCCCCGCAGGGAGGAAGAGCCGAAAGCACGUCGCCAUGGCAACGGGCAGCCGUCACGUGGUCGAACUCCAGUUUGAGUUACUGUCCAGUGUGGAUUUUUUUCAAAGAGGUAUGAGCAAGGUCUGUGCUGUCAAAGAGAGGACACGGGGCUAAAUGGAUCUUUGGUCUAACAUAUCAUGAGUUUAUCAUCCUUGUCAGUGACAUGAUGUGGGAUUGAGCACCCUGAGCAAGUUUGCUGGCAACACCGAGCUGUGUGGUGCAGUCGACACACUGGAGGGAAAGGACGAGAUCCAGACAGGCUGGAGAGGUGGGGCCAUGUAAACCUCAUGGAGUUCAACAAGGCCAAUUGCAAGGUAUUGCCUCUGGGUUGGGGCAAUCCCAAACACCAACACAGGCUGUGGAAGAUGGAUGGAGCAGCCCUGAGCAGAAGAACUUGGUGUGUUGGGUGAGAAGCUCCCCAUGACCUGGCUUCAGUGUGCACUUGAGCCCAGAACCCCCCGUGUGCUGGGCUGCACCCCUAGAGUGUGAGCAGCAGGUCAAGGAGGGGAUUCUGCCCCUCUGCUGCACUCUGUGGAGACCCCCCCUGCAGUCCUGAUCCAGCUUUGGGGCAACAGCGCAAGAGGGACGUGGAGCUGAUGGAGCGAGGCCAGAGGACAGCCAGAGCCUGCAGAAUUUUUCAGUUAUUAGGCAGACGUUUUUCUCUAUGAGGGUGCUGAGGUGCUGGCACAGGGUGCCCAGAAAAGCUGUGGCUGCCCCAUCCCUGGCAGUGUUCAAGGCCAGGCUGGACACAGGGGCUUGGAGCAACCUGCUCUAGUGGAAAGUGUCCCUGCCCAUGGCAGGGGGUUGGGGCUGGGUGAGCUCUAAGGUCUCUCCCUAGCCAAAUGAUUCUGUGGUAACCAUAGAACUACAGAAUCACAGCAAGGUUGAGCUUGGAAGGGACCUUUGGAAAUAAUCUUUUUCAAGCCCCAUACUCAUGCAGUAUCAAUGAACUAUAGAUCUCCUCAGGGAGCUUCUUUAUGCUCAUAGGUGCAAAUCAGUUUAACCCAUUGAUUUUAUAAACCAUUUAUUAUUGCUAGACUAGUGUUUAUUAUCUUCUAAUGUUUUCAUCUUGUAUCUCACACAUAUAAAAGAGAAUUUUGAGCAACUACCCUUUCUUGGCAUCACUAAAAGUUUUACUAUCUCCACAUAACAGACUGCGCUAUGCUGGAUUUCUUUUGUUCUUAAUAUACUUCAAAGCCAAAAGCAUGCCAUUUUUAUUAUCUUUUGUGCUGUCAGGAUUUUAUUCUUUCUUUUUCGUUGGCUUCAGUUUUACAUUACUUAGUAAUUAUUUCACUUAGAAAUUCUCUAUUUCCCCUUCCCAACUGACUCCUUUUCUAUUUGCAGGAUACAGAUUUUACUUAUGCCAAAAGCAGACAUGUUCCCAUAAUUAAAGCUUUAUGGCUUUUUUUUUUUUUGCAAUCCAUGUUAUUGUAACACUGAAUAUUCUUAUCCUUGAAAACCUCCAGUCCUUGAAUUUUGUUGGCCCUUUUGUUUAAUUCUGUCUUGCAAUUCUAAGAUCUGCAGUCUAAUUUCAUGUGUGUUUUAUCUUCAAAUUAAUCUGGGAUACACUUACUAGCAUUAUAAAUCAUAAAGCUACAAAAAACCCCCAUAUGUCAUCUUGUAAAACACAUGCCAUAGAACUUCCCUGAAUUACCUUUGCCUUGACUUACUAACAUACAUGUGGGAAAAAAAACUCCAAACCAACCCAACAAAGAAAGAAACCAACCAACCAAAAAACCCCACACAAACACAUUUUGAUUCAGGAGUUUCCACUGACCAGAAAUUUACCUCAUAGUUAAGUUGUUCAUAUUGUUGAUUACUUGGGCUGUUAAAAGUUUGUAUCCUGCUUUGGAGCUGAACUGCUCUGUUUUACAAGAUUCCACCCGGGACUCUUCUGCAUUGUUACAAUCCAGCCAACAGGCCUGUAAGUGCUCCAAAUACUUGUUAAGAAAUGUCUUCUCAAAUAUAAGCACUGCAUUAGGUAUUUACCAAAUGUUUCACCUCUAAUAAGGUAGAAAUGGUUACAAAUUGCUGCCAUUAUCAAUUGCUGCAGUUAUGUGUGCCCAUUCUUUCUAUUCUGGGAUGCAGAGGCAAGGUAAGAACCAAAUUAAAAUUAAAUUCUAGUAGUUUGCAUCUGAGAAAUGAGUGUUUCCAUAUCCUUAUUGCUGCUAGCACUGAGCUCUUGAAAAUCAGCCUCUUCCUCUGGUCCUAAGUUUGUACCUAUUAUCUUUUUCAAGUAGUUAUUCAUACAGGGAAAUCUGGUGCUGUGGCAAAUCAAAGCAAGAUACUGCAUGUCAGCUCAACAAUAACAGCAGAACAAAGAGAAUGGUUGACAUUUUAGACUGUUAAAGCAUGGGAUGGGGUUCAGAGAGCUGAAGCACUGUAACACUGCAUUAGAGAGUGCUGUAGCCUCUAAGGGAGUACCAAGAGACACCAUAGCCAACAUGCUAGAAUCCACUAACAGUGUGAAAACUUGCAGCGUUGGAGAGGGCAGUAUUGGUUGGGAGGUGGCAGUUGGUAUGUGCUGUGCUGACAUUUCAGUGAUUCAAUAUGAGAGGAGGAGGAAGCUGGAAAUUGAGAACACAUCAUAUAGAUAUUUGGGAUAAUGGGAUCUCUGUGGGAUGAUCUUGGCUAUUACGAGUCCCAAUUAGCAACAGACAGUUUGUGAUUUCUGAGGUCUUCAUGCACAAGUAGCAGCGCAAGCCAGUAUUGCCAGUUUGCAUUGCUGCAGCGUGAAAUUAAAAUGCUGCUUAUCUUUGGGGUUUCAGAUCAAUCCAGAUUGUCUAUAUCCCCUACUUCAUACUGGGACCAUCAGUUCAGGAAAACCAUGUCUAUUUUGCUUGGUCAGUUGUCAGGGUCCAAUACUCUCUGACCAGGUUCUUUUAGAUGUGCCACAUGAGGAGGCUUUAGAUCUGUUUGGCAACAGAUUUACUUACUUGAAGGUACCUGGCAUUACACUGGGAUUUGUUUAGCAGAGUGGUACAGCAUAUAUUGAAAUCACAACAUAAGCUCAAUACAGCAAUUGCAACAUACAGUUGAAUCUCAAUAUGAAUGUGAUUCCCAUUACCAGUCUCUGUAUGCUCACUGUCACGAUGAUGGGCACCCACAGUUUAAUACUCCAUCACAUUCCCAUUAAAACAUGGUGCAUCUAUCUAAACUUACAUUAAAUAUACUAAGAUGUCUCAGAGGGAAAAUUUG